rnacentral:rRNA from 1 species
UACGUAGGGGGCAAGCGUUGUCCGGAAUUAUUGGGCGUAAAGCGCGUGUAGGCGGCUCGGUAAGUCUGCUGUGAAAGUCCAGGGCUCAACCCUGGAAUGCCGGUGGAUACUGUCGAGCUCGAGUCCGGAAGAGGCGAGUGGAAUUCCUGGUGUAGCGGUGGAAUGCGCAGAUAUCAGGAGGAACACCGAUGGCGAAGGCAGCUCGCUGGGACGGUACUGACGCUGAGGCGCGAAAGCGUGGGGAGCGAACAGG